GCGGAGGAAAAGAAACCAACAGGGAUUACCUCAGUAACGGCGAGUGAAGCGGUAACAGCUCAAAUUUGAAAUCUGGGUCUUUCAGGCUCCGAGUUGUAAUUUGUAGAAGAUGCUUCGGGUGCGGCUCCGGUCUAAGUUCCUUGGAACAGGACGUCAUAGAGGGUGAGAAUCCCGUAUGUGAUCGGUUGCUUGCGCCCAUGUGAAGCUCUUUCGACGAGUCGAGUUGUUUGGGAAUGCAGCUCAAAAUGGGUGGUAAAUUUCAUCUAAAGCUAAAUAUUGGCCAGAGACCGAUAGCGCACAAGUAGAGUGAUCGAAAGAUGAAAAGCACUUUGGAAAGAGAGUUAAACAGUACGUGAAAUUGUUGAAAGGGAAGCGCUUGCAACCAGACUUGCGCGUUGUCGAUCAUCCGGUGUUCUCACCGGUGCACUCGAUUUCGCUCAGGCCAGCAUCGGUUUUGGUGGUUGGAUAAAGGCCUUGGGAAUGUAGCUUCUUUCGGGGAGUGUUAUAGCCCUCGGUGCAAUGCAGCCUACCGGGACCGAGGACCGCGCUUCGGCUAGGAUGCUGGCGUAAUGGUUGUAAGCGACCCGUCUUGAAACACGGACCAAGGAGUCUAACAUCUAUGCGAGUGUUUGGGUGUCAAACCCAUACGCGUAAUGAAAGUGAACGGAGGUGAGAACCCUUAAGGGUGCAUCAUCGACCGAUCCUGAUGUCUUCGGAUGGAUUUGAGUAAGAGCAUAGCUGUUGGGACCCGAAAGAUGGUGAACUAUGCCUGAAUAGGGUGAAGCCAGAGGAAACUCUGGUGGAGGCUCGCAGCGGUUCUGACGUGCAAAUCGAUCGUCAAAUUUGGGUAUAGGGGCGAAAGACUAAUCGAACCAUCUAGUAGCUGGUUCCUGCCGAAGU
rnacentral:rRNA from 1 species